rnacentral:rRNA from 1 species
AAGGUCAGGCUGAAGACCUUACCCGAUUAGCUGAGAGGUGGUGCAUGGCCGUCGUCAGUUCGUACUGUGAAGCAUCCUGUUAAGUCAGGCAACGAGCGAGACCCACGUCCACAGUUGCCAGCAUACCCUCCGGGGUGAUGGGUACACUGUGGAGACCGCCGCUGCUAAAGCGGAGGAAGGAGUGGGCAACGGUAGGUCAGUAUGCCCCGAAUCUCCCGGGCUACACGCGGGCUACAAUGGUUGGUAUAAUGGGCAUCUACCCCGAAAGGGGAAGGAAAUCUCUUAAAGCCAAUCGUAGUUCGGAUUGAGGGCUGCAACUCGCCCUCAUGAAGCUGGAAUCCGUAGUAAUCGCGUUUCAACAGAACGCGGUGAAUACGUCCCUGCUCCUU